GAUGAACGCUGGCGGCGUGCCUAAUACAUGCAAGUCGAGCGAACAGAUGAGGAGCUUGCUCCUCUGACGUUAGCGGCGGACGGGUGAGUAACACGUGGAUAACCUACCUAUAAGACUGGGAUAACUUCGGGAAACCGGAGCUAAUACCGGAUAAUAUAUUGAACCGCAUUGUUCAAUAGUGAAAGACGGUUUUGCUGUCACUUAUAGAUGGAUCCGCGCCGCAUUAGCUAGUUGGUAAGGUAACGGCUUACCAAGGCAACGAUGCGUAGCCGACCUGAGAGGGGGAUCGGCCACCCUGGAACUGAGACACGGUCCAGACUCCUACGGGAGGCAGCAGUAGGGAAUCUUCCGCAAUGGGCGAAAGCCUGACGGAGCAACGCCGCGUGAGUGAUGAAGGUCUUCGGAUCGUAAAACUCUGUUAUUAGGGAAGAACAAAUGUGUAAGUAACUAUGCACGUCUUGACGGUACCUAAUCAGAAAGCCACGGCUAACUACGUG
rnacentral:rRNA from 1 species